rnacentral:lncRNA from 1 species
CCCUACAGGCCACCCUCCCAGUCUAACCGCGGCGCGGCAGCAUGGCGCAUGCGCCCCCGCUCUGCCACGCCCACCGCACCGCCCCCAAGCCCCUGAGCCACGCCCCCAAGCCACGCCCCCGCGCACGCGCGCCGGGCCCCUGCGGCCGCCGCAAUCCGGAGUCCACCGAGAGCCUUUCACGAAUAAGCGGAAUAUUGCAGUUGCUCUCUUCCCGGGCGCGGCGGACGACGGUUAGCGGGACGCUGGUCCCGGCGCGCGCGAGGCGCACCUGCGGACGCUAAGGGGCGGGGUCCGGGGGUGGCGAGCGACACAGACCCUUCACCUGCUGGGAGUCGCACUGAAAACACGCGGCACUGCUCACAUUUUGGAACGCUGCCGAGAAGUACAGAGUUCAGUUCUAGUUUGGGGUCAGGCGGAACCUCUGGAGGUCAUCUCAGAAAGCUGCUAGAAAUACCUUGUUUUAAGACGUGUGGAAAUACGAUCGACAAAAGCAUCUACAUUGAAUCGGUUGUAGCGGUUUUGCACAUUCCAGCAAAAUAAACGUUUGGGCGUCGAAGCAAACUGUGAACAUUUCAGUAUAAAGGAUGUGGCCGAAGUGCCAUCCCGUUAAGAGCUUACUUGGGGAAGUUUGGGUGUGCUUACGGAGCAAGAUUACCAAGGUGGCAUUUCUGAACUGCAUUUUAUACUCGUCGGUUGUUUUAUGAAGGACUGACCUUCGGAAUAAAAAGGAUGUUUGGGUAUCACUUUGUCUUAAUCCUUUUGUCCAAUAAAGGAACUUGUCAUUUUUACCAGUAACAUUUAAGCUCGAUUUGCUUUCACAAUUACAUUAUGAAGAAAUCAUUUCUAGAAAGCGGAUUAAAAUUAUGAGUAGGGUCAUAAUACAUUUGACCAUGAUUGAAAUUCUGCAUACAUUUCAGAGUUUUACAGUAAUGUUAAGUUUUAAACAAAUGCCUAUUUCAUGCAGUUACAAUAAAUUUAGACCAAGCACUUUUUAAAAAGGCAAAUAUAUAUUCAAUUUAAAUACUAAUUCAGCAAAGAAUUCCGUUUUGAAAGAAGGCUGCAGACACCUUCUCAAGUACUGACGGAAAUUAACCCCAUCACAGAACAUUGUAAAUUCAAAACAAAUUCUUUGAUUACACCGAAGUUGUCAAGAAAUUUUGCAUCAAAUAGUCUUAACCGAGACAAAAUAUUUUCAUUUUAUGGUAUUUGUUUAGAAUAUAACAUCCCCAAUAAGAAAUUUCUAUGAAAUUAAGGUAAAUAUGGGAGCAGAAAUAGAUUUAAACAGUUCAUUAACAAUCAAAAAUCAAACCCCAUGCACCUAAAAAUAUUAGCAGUUUAUUAGGAAUUCGUCCCUUGCUCACCUGUACUAGUGACAAGAUACUGACAUCAGUAUUUCAGAUGAAAGUAUACUAUAAACAGAGAGCAAAGGACACAGACUCUGUAGGUUAGAAAUAUUCUGGCUUAUGCUAAGAGGGAAAAAAAAAAGGACAAAAAGCCUUUUAAGCAGACAUGCAACCACAAACAAAUUUCUCAAGUAAUCUAGACACUUGGGUCUGUGUAACCAAAAUAUAUGCAUUACAUUAGUCUUUUAAUGAAGAAGGAAUAGGAACCCAAAGGUUUCUAUAUUUCACUUUUUCAGAUUUACACAUGCAAAUCAUAUAUUAAUAUUCACAGGUAUUUUUAAAGGGGAAAACAACUUGCUUCUAACAAUUCACUUUUCCAAUAGCAUGUUACUAUGUUAAGAUUUAACAGUGCAUUCAUUUAAUCUGGCGAUCUUAAUUUGAACAAAUACCUAUUAACAACAAAUUAAACCGCAUCGCAAAGUAGUUCCUUAUAAGAAUCAAGAUCAGAUUUUCUAAUCCUAGCAAAGGCCACAGUGAAAUAGCCCACCCAUGCUGCCACUAAAAUUUGUUGUGAUGAAACUAAUUUGCUCAAAGUGUUCAUAAAGUACUGAUUUUUAAGGUGCUGUAAAGAAAUGUAAGAGGAUGUCACUAUCAUCCAAAUACAGGACUGUUUUGAUCUGCAUCUAGACCUUUUACUUUCUGAUUAAAAUAAGACCUUGCCUCAUAACGAGGUACAUUUUGGCAUCGCGGUAAAUGCUGUUAUGUGAAAGGAAAAAUGAGGGAAAGAAGUUGUGAUAGUCACAUUCAUAGCCUUCAUAGAAAAAUAUAUAUUCCCUGAAUUAGUCAAGUGGCUGCCAUUCAGUAUGAAUUCCAAGAUAAUAAACAAAAUAAACGUUAAUGGGUUUUUGCUAAUUGCCCAUUUCCAACACUCCACUUCCAAAGGGAUUAUCAACAUCCCCAUCACUGAAUCCCCAGGUCCUUCCCGUUUAAGCCGUUUUAGACUUUGGACGUUGUGAACUGUAGGGACUGGACCUUACUAAGGUGUUCGGUUCACUCAGCACUCAAACUGGCUCAAUGGCACUUCCUCCUGAAACGGGCAUCCUUUUUUUCCUCUUACUUUAGUAAUGACACCAUAGCCAUGGGGGUCUGACUUUUUAUUCUCUAAUGCAGAACGCUUAAAAUUAGCAGCAGGUGGCAAUUUUGACUUUUUGGUUUUCAGUCCUUGAAGGUUCUGCUACAUACAGACCCUGUUCACUGCCCAUUAUGUUCCUUUAGAGAAUCAAGAGAUUUCUCAAGACGCUUCCUUUCUGAACAGGAGUAAUCUUAAUGACCGGCCAUUUGUCUUUUCUUUUCCACCUCUCCACUACGCACUCCACAAUCUAUUGCCCGGCCACCCACCCCCACUGUGACCCCCCCCUGGAGUAUGGCUUUUAGAAAAUUCCUCAAAAAGUGCCAACGAGGCGUUCACCUUAGAGCUGGGAACAGAAUACAACUGCCACGUUCCUUGUGGCCCCUGACUGUAUCCACAUCGGAACCACUCCAACAUUUUCCUAGUCCUUAUUGUGCUUUUUCUUUCCAGUCUCCGAACCGCCUUAAGAAAAGCGUUUUUGCUAUUAAUAUCUUCUAGCUCUUUUUCACUUUCAGAAUUUAUAGUUGUAUCCUCCUCUCCCUCUCUCUCUCAACGUUCGGUAAUUUUAAUUUAGCCACAGCAGAAGCACUUCGAUGGGGCAGUUUUCUGCUGCACUCCCUAAUCCAGACAUUUUCUGGUCCUGACACCGUUUCCUUUAGAUUAUUCACACGUUUAGGUUCUUUGCAGCCACAGUAGCACAUCUGCGGGAACGUUCUCAAGAACCAUUUUUGUUUUUGGAGUUUCACUAGGCGUGUGCACUGCAUCCUUCUAAUUAUGCAGACACGUUCUCGUUUUUGUACUGGGUUCUCUGUCUCUAGGAACAGAGUCUGAAAAACGAGUGAAAGUUCACAUAAACGCACUCUUGCAACACAAGAUUGUACUGCUGCUUACGCUCCUCAAUAAUGCAUCCCUGAAACAGUGUCUUAAAACGACUCACGCUGCUAAAUCAGUAAAACACAAAAGUGGUUAUCAUCAGGGCUACCCCCGCCCCCAUCGACAAACGGAAGUCUCGGGUACUAUGCCACCGGGCAUCCUCUCCAAUCUGGAAAGAGAACAGUCACUUAAAACAGUAGCAGACUUGUGACAAGGUACCUUCCGCAUCAUAAAGCCCUAAAUUUUGGUAUUGUUUCUAAUAGUCCAUGUUGAACUAGUUUAGGAUAUUCAGUAAGAGUUCUGAAAUAAUUUUCCUGGAACCUAAGUGAGAAGGCAAUGCUGGGAUGAAGCGAUGUAUCAGGUCUGUUUCAAGACAGUCCUUAAAGUGUUCAUUCCAACCCCUUUAGUCAAAAAAAAAAAAAAAAAAACUUUAACCAGUAGAUAGAAAAAGGGAACUCCCUAUUGUUUUAAAGAAGUAAAAUAUGGCUGUAAUCCUAGAUCCAUUUUUUCAACUACUUGACCAUUUUCUAGACUUGCAAUUCUUAAAUCCUGGUUGCAUUUAUUAUUGAGAUGUUUUCUGAGUGAGAGGGAUGCCGGGCACAAUCAGGCUAUUCUAAAACGAAUUCUACACCUAGAGCUCUAGCUGCUUCAUGUAAGGACUAAGAAGUGUUGGGGGCCACGAGAAUACGUUCUAGAAAUGGAACCCAGUCACAGG